GUGGGGAAUCUUGCGCAAUGGGCGAAAGCCUGACGCAGCCAUGCCGCGUGAAUGAUGAAGGUCUUAGGAUUGUAAAAUUCUUUCACCGGGGACGAUAAUGACGGUACCCGGAGAAGAAGCUCCGGCUAACUUCGUGCCAGCAGCCGCGGUAAUACGAAGGGGGCUAGCGUUGCUCGGAAUUACUGGGCGUAAAGGGCGCGUAGGCGGACAGCUUAGUCAGAGGUGAAAGCCCAGGGCUGAACCUUGGAAUUGCCUUUGAUACUGGCUGUCUUGAGUUUGGGAGAGGUGAGUGGAACUCCGAGUGUAGAGGUGAAAUUCGUAGAUAUUCGGAAGAACACCAGUGGCGAAGGCGACUCACUGGCCCAAUACUGACGCUGAGGCGCGAAAGCGUGGGGAGCAAACAGGAUUAGAAACCCGGGUAGUCC
rnacentral:rRNA from 1 species